AGAAGUAAAUGCGUUGGAAGUUGGAUAGUUAGAAUGUGUACGUCUAGAUAUCCACCAGAUGACAGAAAGAUCUCUCCGUCUCAGAAUUUAUGAGUAACGUACCUAUCAACCAACUUUUCCAUUGGCUAUAUGGUUGCGUAUGACCGCAAAGUCGCUGCUGAUUAGUAUUGCCGUACUCAUUUGAGUCCAUCUCAUCCAUCGUUAGAAUGGAUUGUGUUUUCAACUCGCCAAUGAAUAUAAUUUUGAAUUGCAGCUCACAUACGUAUCAUAAAUACAACAUGAUUGCUCGACGAUCGCAUAGUAUUAAUUGCAAAAUAGGUACAAUAUGCAAGUAUACUGGACAGUGUAUAAGCAAGCAGGAAUUACUUAAGUUUCUACGUUAAAAUGACAUUCAAAGCUCGAGUGGGUUGAAUUUUCCAAAGGACAUGCAUAGUCCAUACGUUGUUCCGGUUCAGAAGUGUAUUAGGCGCUACCCACAUUCACCUUGAAUAAUGAAAACUUACAAGUACCACAUGCACGAACUUCAUGGCCGUUCAAUUUCUCAUGAUACAAUGUAACUAUAUGCCUAUAAUAUGUUCAGUUGGCGAAUACCCACAGCGAUUUAACCCGAAAAAAAAAACCAAUUGAAGCUUUCUAUACCGAUGUAAACAAAAAACCCCCAAGUAGUAAAUUGGUCAACGGAAUGAUUACUUUUUAUCCAAAUGGGAGUUUCCUCGAAUGCAGUAAGUAUACAUAUAUCGUAUUGUUGUCUUUAAAGUUUUAAUGCCAUCGAAAACGUAUAAAAUACUGCUUAAAAAUGACGAAACCUUGGUGAAAUUACGCCGGAGUGUAUGUUAUUCAUGAAAUGAGAUUGUUUACGCAAGUGUUAGUUACUCGAAGCUGUAAACUAUAUACGCAAAGGUUAUGUAUUUUCCUUUAUUUCCUGCGUUGCGGUUUUUAUUAACGAUUGCGCGUUUAUUUUCCAAACCAGCUAAAGGAUAUAAACAUAUGCUGAUACGCGUAUGUGUUUUCACCCGUUUAUUUAUUCAACAUUAUUCCCGUUCUAGUUUUUUUUUUUCAGCCGAUUUACGAACUCUGUACAUUCGAUACCGAGUAAUCGGUUGGUGGGUAAUUGUGAUUUCG